rnacentral:lncRNA from 1 species
GGGCUCUUCACGCUCUGUGCUCUCUCGUUUAAGGUUCACCAGCAGAGAGAUGCCGUUGGGUCCCUCAGUCUGACUGGGAGUGGAGCAGAGCGGGGAGCAUUAUGUUGGGACGGGGACGCUGCGUGGGGAAGGAGGAGUGGCACUGAGGGUGACAGCGCUGGAAGGACACUCUGGUGCAUGCACCCACACGGAGAGCAAAGGGGCUCCUCUGGUGCUGGAGAGAUAAAGGCAGCAGCAGAAAGAUCCCGAGCCCCUCAUGAUGAGGUUCCGUGCAGCAGUACAGCUUCUGGGGAUGGGGACACGCUGCCACCCCAGAGGGAUUGGCACUGGGAUGUGGUGACCAGCAGCUCUGCUCGCCUGCAGGACCCCAUCUUCCCGGGUUGCGUCGUCGGCAAAGGGAAGGAGGGUCUCCUGCUGGUACGAGACAGCUCCAUGAUCCGC